rnacentral:rRNA from 1 species
CCUACGGGAGGCAGCAGUGGGGAAUAUUGGACAAUGGGCGAAAGCCUGAUCCAGCAAUGCCGCGUGAGUGAUGAAGGCCUUCGGGUCGUAAAGCUCUUUUACCAGGGAUGAUAAUGACAGUACCUGGAGAAUAAGCUCCGGCUAACUCCGUGCCAGCAGCCGCGGUAAUACGGAGGGAGCUAGCGUUGUUCGGAAUUACUGGGCGUAAAGAGUACGUAGGCGGUUAUUCAAGUCAGAGGUGAAAGCCCGGGGCUCAACCCCGGAACUGCCUUUGAAACUAGAUAACUAGAGUCUUGGAGAGGUUAGUGGAAUUCCGAGUGUAGAGGUGAAAUUCGUAGAUAUUCGGAAGAACACCAGUGGCGAAGGCGACUAACUGGACAAGUACUGACGCUGAGGUACGAAAGCGUGGGGAGCAAACAGGAUUAGAUACCCUGGUAGUCCACGCCGUAAACGAUGAUAACUAGUUGUUCGGUCACUUGGUGACUGAGUGACGCAGCUAACGCAUUAAGUUAUCCGCCUGGGGAGUACGGUCGCAAGNUUAAAACUCAAAGGAAUUGACGGCUGAGACGNGCGAGCGACGACGAGGGAGAG